GGCGAACGGGUGAGUAACGCGUAGGAAUCUACCUAGUAGAAGGGGAUAGCCCGAGGAAACUCGGAUUAAUACCGUAUACGUCCUUAGGGAGAAAGAGGGCUUAGCUUCGAUGCUCUCGCUAUUAGAUGAGCCUGCGUAAGAUUAGCUUGUUGGUGAGGUAAAGGCUCACCAAGGCGACGAUCUUUAGCUGGUCUGAGAGGACGAUCAGCCACAUUGGGACUGAGACACGGCCCAGAUUCCUACGGGAGGCAGCAGUGGGGAAUAUUGGACAAUGGGCGCAAGCCUGAUCCAGCCAUACCGCGUGUGUGAAGAAGGCCUUCGGGUUGUAAAGCACUUUAAGUAAGGAAGAAAAGAAUAUUGUUAAUACCAAUACUCCGUGACAUUACUUACAGAAUAAGGACCGGCUAAUUCCGUGCCAGCAGCCGCGGUAAUACGGAAGGUCCAAGCGUUAAUCGGAAUUACUGGGCGUAAAGCGCGCGUAGGUGGUUUAUUAAGUUGGGUGUGAAAGCCCCGGGCUCAACCUGGGAACUGCAUCCAAAACUGAUUCACUAGAGUACGAAAGAGGAAAGUAGAAUUCACAGUGUAGCGGUGGAAUGCGUAGAUAUUGUGAAGAAUACCGAUGGCGAAGGCAGCUUUCUGGUUCUGUACUGACACUGAGGUGCGAAAGCGUGGGUAGCGAACAGGAUUAGAUACCCUGGUAGUCCACGCCGUANACGAUGACAACUAGCUGUUGGAAAGCUAUGCUUUUCAGUGGCGCAGCUAACGUCUUAAGUUGUC
rnacentral:rRNA from 1 species